rnacentral:piRNA from 1 species
UGUAACUAAGACAGUGACCAGAAGCUUGUGC